UACGCGAGCUGGGUUCAGAACGUCGUGAGACAGUUCGGUCCCUAUCCGUCGCGGGCGUAGGAAAUUUGAGAGGACCUGUCCUUAGUACGAGAGGACCGGGAUGGACAUACCUCUGGUGUACCAGUUGUGCCGCCAGGCGCAUCGCUGGGUAGCUACGUAUGGAUGUGAUAAACGCUGAAAGCAUCUAAGUGUGAAACACACCUCGAGAUGAGAUUUCCCAUUCCUUUAUGGAAGUAAGACCCCUGAAAGAUGAUCAGGUAGAUAGGUUAGAAGUGGCAGUGCGGUGACGCAUGAAGCGGACUAAU
rnacentral:rRNA from 1 species